rnacentral:rRNA from 1 species
UACGGGAGGCAGCAGUGGGGAAUAUUGCACAAUGGGGGAAACCCUGAUGCAGCGACGCCGCGUGAGUGAAGAAGUAUUUCGGUAUGUAAAGCUCUAUCAGCAGGGAAGAAAAUGACGGUACCUGAGUAAGAAGCCCCGGCUAACUACGUGCCAGCAGCCGCGGUAAU